rnacentral:rRNA from 1 species
CCGUAUUAGCUAGUUGGUGGGGUAACGGCCUACCAAGGCGACGAUACGUAGCCGACCUGAGAGGGUGAUCGGCCACACUGGAACUGAGACACGGUCCAGACUCCUACGGGAGGCAGCAGUAGGGAAUCUUCCGCAAUGGGCGAAAGCCUGACGGAGCAACGCCGCGUGAGUGAUGAAGGUCUUCGGAUCGUAAAGCUCUGUUGUUAGGGAAGAACAAAUGUGUAAGUAACUGUGCACAUCUUGACGGUACCUAACCAGAAAGCCACGGCUAACUACGUGCCAGCAGCCGCGGUAAUACGUAGGUGGCAAGCGUUAUCCGGAAUUAUUGGGCGUAAAGCGCGCGUAGGCGGUUUUUUAAGUCUGAUGUGAAAGCCCACGGCUCAACCGUGGAGGGUCAUUGGAAACUGGAAAACUUGAGUGCAGAAGAGGAAAGUGGAAUUCCAUGUGUAGCGGUGAAAUGCGCAGAGAUAUGGAGGAACACCAGUGGCGAAGGCGGCUUUCUGGUCUGCAACUGACGCUGAUGUGCGAAAGCGUGGGGAUCAAACAGGAUUAGAUACCCUGGUAGUCCACGCCGUAAACGAUGAGUGCUAAGUGUUAGGGGGUUUCCGCCCCUUAGUGCUGCAGCUAACGCAUUAAGCACUCCGCCUGGGGAGUACGGUCGCAAGACUGAAACUCAAAGGAAUUGACGGGGACCCGCACAAGCGGUGGAGCAUGUGGUUUAAUUCGAAGCAACGCGAAGAACCUUACCAAAUCUUGACAUCCUUUGACCGCUCUAGAGAUAGAGUUUUCCUCUUCGGAGGACAAAGUGACAGGUGGUGCAUGGUUGUCGUCAGCUCGUGUCGUGAGAUGUUGGGUUAAGUCCCGCAACGAGCGCAACCCUUGAACUUAGUUGCCAUCAUUCAGUUGGGCACUCUAAGUUGACUGCCGGUGACAAACCGGAGGAAGGUGGGGAUGACGUCAAAUCAUCAUGCCCCUUAUGAUUUGGGCUACACACGUGCUACAAUGGACAAUACAAAGGGCAGCGAAACCGCGAGGUCAAGCAAAUCCCAUAAAGUUGUUCUCAGUUCGGAUUGUAGUCUGCAACUCGACUACAUGAAGCUGGAAUCGCUAGUAAUCGUAGAUCAGCAUGCUACGGUGAAUACGUUCCCGGGUCUUGUACACACCGCCCGUCACACCACGAGAGUUUGUAACACCCGAAGCCGGUGGAGUAACCAUUUUGGAGCUAGCC